GGGGACGUAAAAUGUGUUUUUAGAACUAUAGUGUCAGGAAUACAUGUUUAGUGUUCAUUUUAAAGAUUUCACAAACUACAUCUCGUUCAGACUUUGGGAAAGCCAGAGGAAACACUGCAAAUGAAAAGGAGAAACUAACAAAUUGUUUACUUUAUCCUCUUCCCCCUCUGUAUGCUUUCUCUAUGCUGCCAUGUGCAAAGAACAGAGUUUACGAACAUACAUUUUUUUUUUUAUUUUUUUUUUGUUAGUGCAGCUUAAGAAAAGUCACUUCAAUCAUUGUCCUGAUUUACAGAAUAUCAUAUGUCAAGGGUUUUCUUUUAUUUUUGCAGGUACCGAUCACAAGAACUAAAUGUAGAGUGAUUUUUUUUUGCGUGUUUGUCUACUAUCAAGGUUACAUGGUAAACUGGGAAUUCAACGUGAAUUUUAAAUUUAAAGGGACACUAUAGUCACCAGAACAGCUACAGCUUAUUGUAGUUGUUAUGAUGAGUAGAAUCAGUUAUUCAGCUAUGCUUACAGUUCUGCUACUUUGGCCUUACAUGUAAAAUGUACUUCUGAUUUUUUUUUUUUUUUUUUUUACUUCAAUGAAUAACCCUGUAAGUUUAAUAGCAUCAGAGAGAACAAAAUUGCCACAAAAGUAUACACAAUUUUAUAGGAAGUAGACAGCACUAGCUAAUGGUAUUUUGACACUUUUUACACUGACAUUGUAAUAUUUUGGUAAACAUAUAGAUCAGUGGUAGUCAACCUUUUUCUAUCUACCGCCCACUAAUGCAUCUAAUAGUUGAAAACAUUUCCUUACCGCCCACCAGUUUUCGCUUUGCGCAAGUCCGGAAUAUUUUUUCAAAAGGAGGGUGUUUUUUUUUUUUAUUUUUUUUUUUUAAAUGUACGUACAUUUAUAUUUUUAUUUCUACUUAAU